GAUGAACGCUAGCGACAGGCUUAACACAUGCAAGUCGAGGGGCAUCAUGAGGUAGCAAUACCUUGAUGGCGACCGGCGCACGGGUGAGUAACGCGUAUGCAACCUGCCCGAUACCGGGGUAUAGCCCAUGGAAACGUGGAUUAACGCCCCAUAGUACUUUUAUCCUGCCUGGGAUGGGAGUUAAAUGUCCAAGGUAUCGGAUGGGCAUGCGUCCUAUUAGUUAGUUGGCGGGGUAACAGCCCACCAAGACGAUGAUAGGGAGGGGUUCUGUGAGGAAGGUCCCCCACAUUGGAACUGAGGCACGGUCCAAACUCCUACGGGAGGCAGCAGUGAGGAAUAUUGGUCAAUGGACGUAAGUCUGAACCAGCCAAGUCGCGUGAGGGAAGACUGCCCUAUGGGUUGUAAACCUCUUUUAUAAGGGAAGAAUAAGUUCUACGUGUAGAAUGAUGCCUGUACCUUAUGAAUAAGCAUCGGCUAACUCCGUGCCAGCCGCCGCAGUAA
rnacentral:rRNA from 1 species